CUGCGGUCAUCUCAACUCCAGCUUCUCCGACUUCGGCAGAAUUUUGCACCAACAGAAUUGGCACUAUGAGAAGGGCACUGUGUCUUCGCAGUACCUUUGUUUUUAAAGGAGUGCUCAACGAGACUGUCUCCGGCCAUCUUCUCUGACAUCCUCUUCUCCUUCUCCUUCUAGAUCUCCAUCUGAUGCCUCCCCGAAAGGCAUCCACCAGGUGAUCCAUGGCCUCUGCGGCC
rnacentral:lncRNA from 1 species